ensembl:lncRNA
CUCCAUCUCUCUUUCCCUCACCCCUUUUUCACACAUACCUACUAGCUCACCAGUCUCACGGCAGUUACCCUCCUGGAUACCCACCAGCCACGCCCGUCUGGACGCUUCCAACAACACCCCAGGGUGCGCCCAUCCCUCCCCUCUGCUCCCCAGCCUCCGCCUCCUCCAUCCCUGCCCUCAUCCCCAAGGAAUGGUACAGGUAUCAGAGGAAGAAGAAGGAAAGGUCACCUCACAGAGGAUCUAGCUACAGACGCCCCUCUUCUCAUUCUAAUUCAAAGUCUUCUAAAUCCAAAUCUUCUCGCUCCUACUCUCGCUCUUCGAGCCGCUCUGGAUCUCGCUCCCGGUCCCGAUCCCAAAGCAAAUCAAGACCCCGUUCCCCUUACUCCCGUCAGAGAGAUCGUCGGACCCGAUCUCCUCCCUCCUGCUCUUACACCUUUGGUUACAAACGCUCACGAUCCCCUACACCGUCCUCGUCAUCAUCACCCCGAGUGGGUUACCAUUCCAGGUCCAAGUCGCCUUCAGAUCCCUGGAAGAACCGCCAUCACAACAAGAAGUCGGCUUCGAGCAGCUACAGCUCCAGGAGGCGAGGAGAGUGCUCAGAGAGGGAGUCAGGAGGGUCUAGAAGUGGUUCAACCAGAAACCUAUAUGGCCAGCAUAGAAAUCAAACUAGCAGGCAGGACCUGGAUAGAGAGAACUACAUGCAGUGGAAGUACAAAGAGUGGUACGAGAAAUAUUUCAGCAGCUAUGUGGGCCACUUCCCUCAGAUACCUCUUCCCUUCGUAAAUCUUUUUCCUCCUCCUUGUCAUCAGUUGGAGGACAGAGAAGAAAGUAGAAAUCAUUCACAUGCUAACUUGGAUUCUCGCUACCGACCACAAAGUAAACACGCAGCCAGGAUGGAUGGUCGGUCUCCUUUGUCAGAGUCAUCCAGUGACAGUCGCUCCCCUCCGUCUCAGUCUUCAAGCGACAGUCUCUCCACGCCGUCUCAUUCGUCCAGUGGCAGCCAUUCCUCUCUGUCUCAUAAAGCUACUGACAGCCAUUCUCCUCCCUCUCAGUCGUCCAGUGACGGUCGCUCCACACCGUCUGAAGACGGAGCUCAGAGUUGCACUGGGAAGCACAAAAGCCCGACAAUCACACCUACAAGGAAUAGUGAGGAAGUAGAUCUGCAAGACAGAAGCACAGACGACAAGCAACCGAUACUGGAAAAAUUGGAGCACUUUAGCACUCUGAAACAUGAGCAUAGGAGGAUGAAGAAAGUUGACAAAGGAAGAGAAGAGGACUCAUCAUCCCUUGACUCUACAGAUGACAGCAGAAAGGGCCUGAGGAGGAAGAGCUCUGGACCAAGCUCCUGUAAGGAUGGCACUCCAGUAAAAAACAAAGCAACUGACAAAGAUGCCUCAGAAUCACCUCCGCUGAAGCUCAAUAAACCUUCACACAAAGACGAUGAAAGAAAAGUCAAAGGAGAGAAGAAUUUGGAAAGAGAGAAAGGAUCAAGAAGAGGCAAAGAUUCAGACUCUAGACAUAAAGAGGAGAGACAGCCCAGAAAGAGAGAGCCAGACAGGAUGAAUACAGACAGAGAAGAAACCUCCAGAGGCAGCAGAGCUCCUGACUCCAGAUCAGAGAAGAACAGAAAAAGAAAGGUGGAGAACCUGGAGAGAAAUGAGAAAGAGAGUAGUCUUUCUGUUAAGCCUGAAGGCAGAAAAUGCCUAAAAACUGAAGUUGCAGAGAACCUUGAAACCUGCAAGAGUGAAUCUCUGAAGUCACUUGAUAAAGAGGAGAAGAAAAAAGAGAAGAAAACAUGGCCUCUGACAGAGGGAGAUAUCUGGGAGGGAGGGAUGGAGGUGAAGCCUCAGAGGAAGAUCAGCAUCAACAUCAACCUGGGUGGAAAAAGGCAAGAGGAGAAGUCUGAUAAACAGGACCCCUCUUAUUUUGAGAGCAUUACAGGGAAAUCACAGGAAAACAUUGAGCACACUGCUAUUAGAGAGGAGGAGAAGUUAAACAAAGACAAGAUAGAAACUGAUGUAAAUGAAAAGAAAGAAUCCAGCAGAGACCAGGAGAUUUUGUCUGAAGUUAAAAUAAAACCAGAAGAAGAAGACAGAAGAAAGAUGUGGGACAAAGCUACCUUUGUGUUUGAGAAAACUGCAGAUAGGAAGGAGGACAGUGGAGAAAAAAAAGACAAAAUAGAGGAGGAGGACUUUGACUUAUGGCACUGUGCACUUAGAGGAGUGGAGGAGAGUGUCGGGGGAAAAGGGGAAGAAACAGAGAGAGUGAGAGAUGACUGCAGAGAAGAGGAAAUGGGAGGGUUGGCCACAACUCCCCGAAAGGAGAAGACAGAGAAAGAAAGCACAUGCAAGGAAAACAGAGGUGAAGCAGACUAUACAGAGAGGUUCAACUCACAGAGGAGCAAAAGAAAGGGCCACCAUGAUGGAUCUAAGUCUACACCAGAUGAUGGCAGUAGCGCCUCUGUGGUGGGCAGCUGUGGAGGUGAAGACCAUCAGGAGAGGUGGACAGUGGUGACAACUCUGGAGGAAAACACCGAGGACCGAGCUGCAGAUGUACUCAUACAGGUGCCUCGCUCCAAAUGGGGGAACGAAGGCAAAAAAGAGCAGGAUGAAGGAGAGAUCAGAGUUCACACUGUCUCUCCUGUGGCUCUACCUCAACCAUCAGUGACCAAUAAGGAGACAGGGGCAGACAAGGAACAACAGAGACGGAGGUCAACAGAGAGAGGCAGAGGGAUAGAGAAAGAGUGAGGGAGAGAUCGAACAAGAGCAAAAGAUCAAAAGAAGAAACUAAGGAGGAAGAGAGGAGGAGAGAUGGGGAGAGAGAGAGGGAUCGCAGCAGCUCUGCCUCAAAGCAAAGGAGAAAUCCUCCUUCCUCAUCUCACUCCAUUUCACCGUCGCAACACAAAGAGAAGAGAGACAGUCAGCGAGAAGGCAAUCAGGGCAGCAACAGCGGCAAGUUCUCCACUGUCAGAAACAGUACAACAAGCAGAGCUACCGACCUGUCUGAUCGCAGUGCCCACAGACCAUACCGAGAUGUGGAAUCCAAAAGCGAAGACCAUUUCCACUAUGGUAGUUACCAAGAGCGAUCAGGGAACUCCAGCCACCAAGAUAGAUCAGCAGGGACCCACCCAUCUCCACCUUCCUCCUCUCUCAGCCACAGUAAGCGGAGAGACCUGCUCCUCUUUGAAUCCUCUGCAGGGCCUAAGAGAAGGUCCCCUAAUUGGGGAGUGAUGCAGAACAAAAGUAGAAAUGACAGCGAGGUAGAGGGAGGAGAGAGGAAGGUGAACAUGGUGGAUAAGGUAGUGAAAAAAGGCAAGAGGGAGAGAGAAAAUCAAGAGAUGGUGGCCGGAGGUAGUUGGUGGGAAGAUGAGGAUGAUAAAGUGGAGGAAGAAGAGAGGCCCAGCAGCCAAAGCAGCAGCCAAAGCAGCAGCAGCAGCUCAUCAAGCCAGAGCAGCAAAGACAACCAGAGAAAUGAGAGGAACAAGAAGGAAAGAAAACACGAAAAGGAGAAGAGACAGGAGCUGAUGGAGGAAGGAGAUUUAAUGCAAGAAAAGCAAAGAGGAGGACGGCACUAAGCUCUACUCAGUCAUGAGUGAAAUUUACUUGAUGUUUUUCCUUUCUCUGAUCAAAAGGUGCCUGGUUUUAUUUUGUUUUUCACUUUUAUUUUUGCCCAGGAUGCUUUUUGUUUCACCUUAAGAUGUCAUAUCUAAUAUACAUCAACCAAAAAUGCUCAAAGGAAAAGCACCUUAUACAAAACACAAAAAUGAAUGUGAAUGAAAUCAAAUGUCAAGGAAUUUGCACACGACUUGCUCAGGGCUGCCAGCAGCUGUAUAUCAUUAUAACUGAACCUGCAAUGUUACAGUGUGAAUGAAGGGGAUGUUACAUUUUGACAAGAAGUCAGUAAUUUGAUUUGCCUAUAACAGGAGCACAGGGAUACAUACAGAGGAUUGUGAAAAAGAGCUUGUUAUUAAUUUAAAAACAGAUACUGUGAAUAUUUAUGAUUUCAACCUCUGUGUUGUCUUACUUUUUUUUAAUUUUGUAAAUGUUUAUUCUAAAAAUAACUGCUGGAUGGAUAGAUAAUUUACCAGAAGAAAGUUUAAUUUUUCCUGUUUUGAAGGAAAUAAAAAGAAAUAUCCAUAAAAAUGUUGUGUUUUUUUUCUUUCUGGAUGACCACUGACAAGUUAGUAAAUAACAGUAGAAAUGUAUUUUUAUAUAUACACAGUAACUUAUACUACUGUAUACUACUAUACUACAGGUAAAGUGAUAAUGCAAAAAACCUGAGACUCCAG